UCCCGAGUUUGUCCAUUCUGUCUGGGAAGCAGCCUGCGAUGGAGAGUGAGGGCUGUGUCCCAGGUGCAGAGCAGCAGUGGGGCUUAGAAGGGACUAGUAUCUGGAAGGUCAGUGUCAAGACACCCUGAUGAAGAAAGGACCAGCUGAAGUUUGCACAGAAGAAUCUUGGGUCUGGGGAUGAUGGCUGAGUUCUCUGGAGCCUCAGGAGUCUUGGAUGAGAGUGCAGGGAGGAGAAAGACGCCCAUCCUGUGUUAGAGUCCUGCUGAUUACUGGAGACUGUUGAGCCAACCUACUAAAGAAGCAUCCGGCAUGGACAGCUGGACAAGAAAACAAACCCCAAAUCUGAGCCAAUUAUGUGUGUAAAUAAAACAGCACCGGACACAGCAUGCGAUCUAUUGUUGUUAAUAUCCCAUGCAGGGGUUUUCCUGGUGACCAGAAAUGCCACAGCUAUUCAGUGUUCUCCAGGCCCACCAG
rnacentral:lncRNA from 1 species